rnacentral:rRNA from 1 species
GGGCGGGUUCACAGGUGGUGCAUGGUUGUCGUCAGCUCGUGUCGUGAGAUGUUGGGUUAAGUCCCGCAACGAGCGCAACCCUCGUUCCAUGUUGCCAGCACGUAAUGGUGGGGACUCAUGGGAGACUGCCGGGGUCAACUCGGAGGAAGGUGAGGACGACGUCAAAUCAUCAUGCCCCUUAUGUCUUGGGCUUCACGCAUGCUACAAUGGCCGGUACAAUGGGUUGCGAUACUGUGAGGUGGAGCUAAUCCCAAAAAGCCGGUCUCAGUUCGGAUUGGGGUCUGCAACUCGACCCCAUGAAGUCGGAGUCGCUAGUAAUCGCAGAUCAGCAACGCUGCGGUGAAUACGUUCCCGGGCCUUGUACACACCGCCCGUCAAGUCACGAAAGUUGGUAACACCCGAAGCCGGUGGCCUAACCCUUGUGGGGGGAGCCGUCGAAGGUGGGACCAGCGAUUGGGACUU